ACUAUUCACAAUUUUAUACUAUUCACGUUCAACGUUUGACUGUUCGUCUUAUUUGAAAAAAAAAUUAUGAUUAGUAUUUUUAUNUGCUAUUAGAUGAUAAAACAUGAAUAGUACUUUAUAUGUGAUUAAAUAUUUUUAAAUUUUUCAUAAAUUUUUUUANNAUAAGACGAAUGGUCAAAUGUUGGGCACUGAUAUCCACGGCUGUCGAUUUA
rnacentral:pre_miRNA from 1 species